rnacentral:lncRNA from 1 species
UGCUUUCUCCCCGUCGCUGUCUCUCACCGCCUCUGUCCCUAUCUCGUUUGAAGAACCGUGUAGCCUCUUCAAUCUUCUAUCUCUGCCCUGCUUUUCAUCCUUUUUAUUCUUUUCUCUCGUUCACACACCGAACCGAAGCCCACACCCUCCACCAACGUUGAUCUUCUCUUCUCCAAGUCCACUUCUUUGCCUAGUACCAGCAAAGCUGGUGUUGGCCUUCGAAACCCCAGAGAGUUUCCUCUCCCAGGCGGCCAUCAUCCACCGAAGAAGAAAUCUCCACGCGGCUUUAGUCUUUGUCGAGCUGCCCUCUCUUAGUCAACAAGCUGCCCACCCACGCGUCUUCUUCUUCAAACGCAUGAAGUAGCCGCCNN